rnacentral:rRNA from 1 species
AUGAACGCUGGCGGCGUGCCUAAUACAUGCAAGUCGAGCGAACAGACGAGGAGCUUGCUCCUCUGACGUUAGCGGCGGACGGGUGAGUAACACGUGGAUAACCUACCUAUAAGACUGGGAUAACUUCGGGAAACCGGAGCUAAUACCGGAUAAUAUAUUGAACCGCAUGGUUCUAUAGUGAAAGACGGUUUUGCUGUCACUUAUAGAUGGAUCCGCGCCGCAUUAGCUAGUUGGUAAGGUAACGGCUUACCAAGGCAACGAUGCGUAGCCGACCUGAGAGGGUGAUCGGCCACACUGGAACUGAGACACGGUCCAGACUCCUACGGGAGGCAGCAGUAGGGAAUCUUCCGCAAUGGGCGAAAGCCUGACGGAGCAACGCCGCGUGAGUGAUGAAGGUCUUCGGAUCGUAAAACUCUGUUACUAGGGAAGAACAAAUGUGUAAGUAACUAUGCACGUCUUGACGGUACCUAAUCAGAAAGCCACGGCUAACUACGUG